rnacentral:rRNA from 1 species
CAAUAGCGUAUAUUAAAGUUGUUGCAGUUAAAAAGCUCGUAGUCGGAUUUUUGUGUCAUGUCGAACUGUCUGCCGAUUGGUUUGUACGGUUUGACGGGCAUAUUCCUUCCAGAGGCUCCGUGAGGCCUUCAUUGGUUUCGCGGUUGAAUCUGGGUCCUUUACUUUGAAAAAAUUAGAGUGUUCAAAGCAGGCAAUCGCUUGAAUACAUUAGCAUGGAAUAAUAGAAUAGGACUUUGGUUCUAUUUUGUUGGUUUCUAGGACCGAAGUAAUGAUUAAUAGGGACAGUUGGGGGCGAUUAGUAUUUAAUUGUCAGAGGUGAAAUUCUUGGAUUUAUGAAAGACUAACUACUGCGAAAGCAUUUGCCAAGGAUGUUUUCAUUAAUCAAGAACGAAAGUUAGGGGAGUCGAAGACGAUCAGAUACCAU